AGAGUUUGAUCCUGGCUCAGAACGAACGCUGGCGGCAGGCCUAACACAUGCAAGUCGAGCGCACCUUCGGGUGAGCGGCGGACGGGUUAGUAACGCGUGGGAACAUACCCUUCUCUACGGAAUAGCCAUUGGAAACGAUGAGUAAUACCGUAUACGCCCUUCGGGGGAAAGAUUUAUCGGAGAUGGAUUGGCCCGCGUUAGAUUAGAUAGUUGGUGGGGUAAUGGCCUACCAAGUCUACGAUCUAUAGCUGGUCUUAGAGGAUGACCAGCAACACUGGGACUGAGACACGGCCCAGACUCCUACGGGAGGCAGCAGUGGGGAAUCUUAGACAAUGGGCGCAAGCCUGAUCUAGCCAUGCCGCGUGAGUGAUGAAGGCCUUAGGGUCGUAAAGCUCUUUCGCCAGGGAUGAUAAUGACAGUACCUGGUAAAGAAACCCCGGCUAACUCCGUGCCAGCAGCCGCGGUAAUACGGAGGGGGUUAGCGUUGUUCGGAAUUACUGGGCGUAAAAGCGCACGUAGGCGGAUUAGAAAGUAUGGGGUGAAAUCCCAGGGCUCAACCCUGGAACUGCCUCAUAAACUCCUAGUCUAGAGUUCGAGAGAGGUGAGUGGAAUUCCGAGUGUAGAGGUGAAAUUCGUAGAUAUUCGGAGGAACACCAGUGGCGAAGGCGGCUCACUGGCUCGAUACUGACGCUGAGGUGCGAAAGUGUGGGGAGCAAACAGGAUUAGAUACCCUGGUAGUCCACACCGUAAACGAUGAAUGCCAGUCGUCGGAUAGCAUGCUAUUCGGUGACACACCUAACGGAUUAAGCAUUCCGCCUGGGGAGUACGGUCGCAAGAUUAAAACUCAAAGGAAUUGACGGGGGCCCGCACAAGCGGUGGAGCAUGCGGUUUAAUUCGAAGCAACGCGCAGAACCUUACCAACCCUUGACAUCCUGUGACAACUCGAGAGAUCGAGCGUCCCUUAGGGACACAGUGACAGGUGCUGCAUGGCUGUCGUCAGCUCGUGUCGUGAGAUGUUCGGUUAAGUCCGGCAACGAGCGCAACCCACAUCUUUAGUUGCCAGCAGUUCGGCUGGGCACUCUAAAGAAACUGCCCGUGAUAAGCGGGAGGAAGGUGUGGAUGACGUCAAGUCCUCAUGGCCCUUACGGGUUGGGCUACACACGUGCUACAAUGGCAAGUACAGUGGGUUAAUCCCCAAAACUUGUCUCAGUUCGGAUUGGGGUCUGCAACUCGACCCCAUGAAGUCGGAAUCGCUAGUAAUCGCGGAACAGCAUGCCGCGGUGAAUACGUUCCCGGGCCUUGUACACACCGCCCGUCACACCAUGGGAGUUGGUUCUACCCGACGGCCGUGCGCUAACCUCUUCGGAGGGGGCAGCGGACCACGGUAGGAUCAGCGACU
rnacentral:rRNA from 1 species